rnacentral:rRNA from 1 species
AUACGAAGGUGGCAAGCGUUAUUCGGAAUCACUGGGCAUAAAGGGCCUGUAGGCGGUAUAUUAAGUUAAUUGUGAAAUCCCUCGGCUUAACCGAGGAAUUGCUGUUAAUACUGGUAUGCUUGAGUGUUGGAGGGGUAAGUGGAAUUCUUGGUGGAGCGGUGGAAUGCGUAGAUAUCAAGAGGAACGCCGGAGGCGAAAGCGACUUACUGGACAACUACUGACGCUGAGGGGCGAAAGCUAGGGGAGCAAACGGGAUUAGAAACCCUAGUAGUCC